CCCACCUCUCUUCUCUCGCUUACACCACGACUCAGUCGUCGCUCACCUCAAACAGCACCAUAUUUCUUCAUCACCACUGUGUUAAAGAUGCUCGGUGCAUUUCACCAUCAGCUCUGGCAUAGGGGUGCACAGGUUCCCCCUCCUCAUCGGUUCCACCUGCCAGACUGAGACCGCCCGUCUUACUAAUCUGUCUUUGGGGAGAACGACAACCGGAGCCGGCAAAGGACGAGGCACCCCCGGGCCCCAUAAAUCCCGCCGGCUCCCGAUUACCCAGUUCAGGCCACAAAGUCAAAGAACUGGGCAUUAAGUGGAGCAAGUUGCUUGGCACCAAGGACAAAGCUGACAGGAAACAUAAGGCCCCCACAUGCGGCCCGGACGUGAAGAAUAGACCGGCUCGUGAGGACGUACGCUACAUGGAUGAGACGGCCCCUCUCAAAUUAGCACUGAGCAGGGUGACUGCUGCAACGCCGGCUGAUGAAGAGACACGCGGCUGCCACUAUUUGCGCCGCUAAGGCAUUCAUCAAAUUAAUUACUGCUGCGCCCAACCACCUCUCUGAUACCUCUUUAUUUUGAGUCCUGUAAAUGGGGCCUCAGACGAGUCCUGACAGGGAGCCCUAAUACACACACUGCCUCUUCUCCAGCAACAUAAUUAAUUGAAAACUUCGCUGGCUUGACAAAUUGGAAUGAUGAAUCUAUCUUCUAUGAAUAGCUUAAGGAGAGAGAGAGAGAGAGAACGAAGAGGAAAAAAAUGCAUAAUCAGUCAAAAAUGUAGACGCAACAUCUCUCUCUCUGGCUUUGCCGUGUAUUGAGAGCCAUUAGGGCCGAGAGGAGCUGUGGCGCUGCGAAAAGACUGAAUCUCCUUCCAUCCACGUCUCGAUUGAUAACUAUGGCUCUUCGAUUUAAUAGAGCGGUCAAGGUGGAGCUGUUCUUCUGUAUGGUUCAAGAGAAAUAAAGAGAGGAAAAUAUGAGAAGGUUGCAGAUGUGAAGGACACACCUUUUCCAUGGGAGGCCGGCAGACUGAUUUCAGUUCAGAGAGAACCUAGACAGGACUACAGAACUAAAUAAAGUCUCAGAUGGAUGGAACUGAACUCCCACUAGAAAACCUGCAAGACAAUGAGAUUCCCUGUGCCCUCUGAGAAAUGUUUACACGCUCUUCAAGCACAUGCACACACGUAUAUGAAAUAUAUACAACAUUACCCUUUUGUGACUGUGCAGUAUUAGGGAUAUAAAUA